rnacentral:rRNA from 1 species
UACGUAGGGUGCGAGCGUUGUCCGGAAUUAUUGGGCGUAAAGGGUGCGUAGGUGGCGGGGUAAGUCUGGUGUGAAAUCUCGGGGCUCAACCCCGAAACUGCACUGGAUACUGCCUUGCUCGAGUACUGGAGAGGAGAUUGGAAUUUACGGUGUAGCAGUGAAAUGCGUAGAUAUCGUAAGGAAGACCAGUGGCGAAGGCGAAUCUCUGGACAGUUACUGACACUGAGGCACGAAGGCCAGGGGAGCAAACGGG